AAUGGAGGAAACUCUGAUGCAGCAACGCCGCGUGGAGGACGAAGGUUUUCGGAUUGUAAACUCCUGUCUUUUGGGACGAUAAUGACGGUACCAAAAGAGGAAGCCACGGCUAGCUACGUGCCAGCAGCCGCGGUAAUACGUAGGUGGCGAGCGUUGUCCGGAAUUACUGGGCGUAAAGGGCGCGUAGGCGGUCUUUUAAGUCAGAUGUGAAAACCCGGGGCUCAACCUCGGACCUGCAUUUGAAACUGGGAAGACUCGAGUGUCGGAGAGGAAAGCGGAAUUCCUAGUGUAGCGGUGAAAUGCGUAGAUAUUAGGAGGAACACCAGUGGCGAAGGCGGCUUUCUGGACGAUAACUGACGCUGAGGCGCGAAAGGGUGGGGAGCAAA
rnacentral:rRNA from 1 species